rnacentral:ncRNA from 1 species
AACUGCAAAAUUAGAGAAAUCUAAAGACGCAAAGCUAAAGGGACUAAGGGAUAAAACCUAUGUUAGCCAGUUGCUAA